rnacentral:rRNA from 1 species
CAGUCGCCGCGGUAAGACAGAGGAUGCAAGCGUUAUUCGGAAUGACUGGGCGUAAAGCGUCUGUAGGUGGCUUUUCAAGUCCACCGUCAAAUCCCCGGGCUCAACCCUGGACAAGCAGUGGAAACUACCAAGCUGGAGUACGGUAGGGGUAGAGGGAAUUUCCGGUGGAGCGGUGAAAUGCGUUGGGAUCGGAAAGAACACCAACGGCGAAAGCACUCUGCUGGGCCGACACUGACACUGAGAGACGAAAGCUAGGGGAGCAAAUGGGAUUAGAUACCCCUGUAGUCCCUGUCUCUUAUAA